UGGGGAAUAUUGGACAAUGGGGGCAACCCUGAUCCAGCAAUGCCGCGUGAGUGAUGAAGGCCUUAGGGUUGUAAAGCUCUUUCGGCGGGGACGAUGAUGACGGUACCCGCAGAAGAAGCCCCGGCUAACUUCGUGCCAGCAGCCGCGGUAAUACGAAGGGGGCGAGCGUUGUUCGGAAUUACUGGGCGUAAAGGGCGCGCAGGCGGCUCUGAAAGUCAGAUGUGAAAGCCCCGGGCUUAACCUGGGAAUUGCAUUUGAUACUCUAGAGCUUGAGUACGGGAGAGGAGAGUGGAAUUCCCAGUGUAGAGGUGAAAUUCGUAGAUAUUGGGAAGAACACCGGUGGCGAAGGCGGCUCUCUGGACCGUAACUGACGCUGAGGCGCGAAAGCGUGGGGAGCAAACAGG
rnacentral:rRNA from 1 species